UAUUCAUUGUCGAAGAACCUAUGAGUAUGAACACAUUUUGUCGUCUGGAAAGUUCAUUGUUCCUAGAAAAGCGAAGAAACAAGAAGAUGCUUACGAGUAUUCGAUGUACGGAAUUUCUUUGAUGCGUGCAAUCACGAACGUCCUUGCGAACACGUUCGUCUUAUUCAACGAGAAAAUGAUGAGAAUGUAAAAUGUAAAAAAACAUCCUCCGUGAAGUAUUCAAAGGUCGGUGUCCUUGGAAAAAAUUCGCUUCCAAAGAGCAAAGUUCCGGAGUUGAUUUGUAUUCUGAAAUUACGUCAGGCUUGGUGACUUAAUCGAGUUUAUGGGGUUUAGCUUGUCCGAGUCGGAACCUUGACAUUAAUUAUGAUGCAUUGUGGAAGUGCAUUCAAAAUAUUUGUACUUCUGCAUUUGAUCAAAUAUUCCCAUCUACCUAAUCACCUCAUCAUUUCGUCGAGUUAUCAACGAAUUUUUGUCCAUCAUUAAGUAGUGAAAAUAACAAUGAUGAGCAUCUAACGACAGUACAGGAUUUUUAUGCAAUACGUUUGUUGAAAGAAAAAACUUACAAGUUGUAUCAAAGGUGGAAAUGGAAAUGUACCAGAACAAAGCAAACGUUGUAGGUAAUUUAGUUAUCCUAAUUCACGUUGACCAGCUUUUUCGGUGAUUACGUUAGACUGACGAAUGUGAUGGUACUGGAAGUUAAUUAUAAUUAACAUGGCUGUUAAAACUACGUUGGAAUUUAUGAGGUAAAUAGAAUUUGGUAACAAGUUGCUCGUCUGAUUACUGUUAUGUACUCAUUGGUUCCAGGGAAGAAAGCUAAAAUUUCUCGCUAAAAAUUAUG